AGAAGAAGCACAGAGAAAGAGAGAUUGAGAGAGAGAGAGAGAGAUGGGAAGUUCCGGUUUCAAACUGUUCGGCAAAAUUAUUGGCGGCUUCAGCAGCUGCGAUCUCUCCGUUCAAGCGCCGCAUCCGACUGUCUGCAAGGAUUUAUCAGAUUUUGGUUUAGCAUUUGUGGAAUCUCGAAGUUGGGGGGAGUUAAAGAAUUCGUCUCCGGUCAGCACGAUCUAACCUUCCGGCGGUGACGAUUUCGUCAAGAGAUUCUAUUGGGAUGAUUACCUUUUAUGCGUAUAACCUCUUAUUGCGUCAUUUUGUCGUUAUUUUCUUGGAUUUCUACCGGCAGCUUGCUUUCUUGCAAGGUUUCGACUCCGAUUACAACUUCGGUCUUAUUCAGCGAGAAAUCCGGACCUUCUUUUGCUUACCGAGUUCUUAAUUGAGCUCGCAAAUUGAAGAAACUCAAGAUUAUUUCUUGAUUUUCAUUUCUUAUUUUUAUUUCGGUUUGCUCUGUUCCUUGUUCGGCAUGUGGAUGACCUGUAGGUUGGACAAUGUAAUGGACGUGUUUCAGGAGCUUCUAAGUUUCUGGGGGUGAGCGAUUGCUGGGAGCUUUAUUCCUUGAUCAGGUGUGUAGGGGAACUAAUUGGGUAGCGUCCACAGGAGUGGAGUACGGUAAGUUCGCUUCAGUUUUGAUUUUCUCUUUUCCCUUGAUCCAUGGCUCUUCAUGUAUCCAUCAUUUUUCUGAACUUUUUCAAAGUUAUCUUCAUAAAGUUAAGCUUGUGAACAAAAAACCUUUUUCCUUCCAGCAAAAUGGUAUAAAUCUGUCCAACUUGAUCUCCACAGUGUACUCGGUGGAAAGUAUAAACCUGACUAGUGGAGAACACUUCUAAAAAAAAACAACCAAUCUUAAAAUAGUGAUAACUUUUACAAGUUAGGAUUGAUACAAUCACCUUCACGGUUACUAUCAAACAGCCCAGGUUCUUCUUUCUGUGGCUGCUUCAGAAAAGCUUCUGAAGUUAUUGGGUUCAGGCUCCCAGCUACUUGGUCUUGGCCUGCUCGGCAAGCCAAGCUGAAUAUCUCAUCUGUGAAAAAUGACUUGAACAGAAGUUACAGAAAACCCAAGCAUCGAAACAUAGACUAGAUGUAAGUGGCAAAGAGAAACCCUGUCUGGUUCAGCAACAUGAAAGUCUCACCCUCCAAAACUGUUGGAUUGAAGAGCGGACAUAGGGUUGCUGGAACAGUGAGGGGAUGGGGAGGCCUGGUGUGUGCCUUAACAAUCACAGGUUGUUACUAUUCAAUGAAUCUGCCUUAAAAAUUAGAUUUGAUUCAUAGAGCAGUAAUCCAUGAAUCUGUCACAGUGUUUAGCACAAAUUCAUUGGAUGGUAACAGCCUGUUACUGUUACCAAACGGCACCAUAGGACCGGUACUGUCUGCCAGUAAAUGCUGAACAGAGACAGAGGAAGCAUUAGUUAAGAACAAUAGGGGGUGAUGGACACACCCUCAAGGUAAGUCUCUAUCUCUCUCUCUCUCUCU